UUGCUAGGCGGAGCAGACUCUGACGACCAAUCAGCGUUUUGUCUACUCACGUUGGCUUGCGUGUGACGUCACUGAUCAUGAAUUGCAGUGUGGGGAGCUGAGCGGCAGAGGAACAAUGUCGAAAAACAACCGAAAAUACGGAGUAAAAGCGACGUUUGAGUCGUCGCUUCGUUGCUACUGUUUUCUGAUACCGGUAGAAACUUAAUUACUGGCGAAGACUGGUUGUGAAAACAAGCUUUGGAUGUGUUUCCGUCGAACAUGAGAGGAUGGACGCUGAGCACACCUGCAGCACGAAGGCCUACUUAUUCAGCUGCUGCAGCUGGGAGAGAAAAUACCAGCUCUCACCUUACAGACCAAAGCAUACAGUGAUGUCACCAGUUGGUCCAUGACUGUAGAGUUGCAGAGACCAGAAUGUCUACAACCUUCAGGUGAAUUCACAGAAACAGCUGGAUUCACUGAAGGUCAAGGGGGAGGAGGAGAAGACUGUGACGAAGAUGACAACAACAGCGCAGAUGAAGUUCUGGACUUAAAGUGGAAGAGAGAAAACAACAAAGUUAAUGAAACAGAUAUACCUUCUACAUCACAGACUGAGAAGAACAUGAAACACCCCCUGCCUCCUGUUCAAGUGGAGACGCUUUGUUUUAGCUCCCCACCUUGUUAAUAACAACACUAUAAUGUAGGUGUGAGCACAUUUUCCAAAGACUAAUGUAUCUCAAUUAAGCAUCUUUAAGAACAUUAACUGUUGAUGAUAUGAAAUAAUUGUAUCAUCAACAGUUAAAUGUUGCUUAAUAGAGGUACAUUAGUCUUUGGAAAAUGUGCUUACAACUACAUUAUGUGUAGGUGGGAGAAUAAAACAAAGCGCCUCCUUGUGGUCAAACAUCUGUCAUCUCAACUGUGGUUUGUUGAAUGUUGUCUGGAACAGUAUCAUUAAAAUGUAAUCCAAUUACAUUUAAAGGUUUUCUUUAUGAAUUACUUCUACCAUUCUUUUCUGUCUAUCAUUAUGGACAACUGCUAUUAUCACAGCAGUUUGUUUUUUUAUACCUACAUGCAUUUAAAGGUUUUACUUUUAUUAUUACAGUUUACUUCUAUUAAUAUGUAUACAUACAUAUUUAUAUCUAUUAGUAUGUGUAUCGUAAUGGAUUACUUAUCACGUUAUUUUUUGCAGCUACAUUUUGUAAAAAUACUAAUUAAUAGUAAUCCAAACUGAUUAAGUUACAGCAGCUUAAUGAUUUUGUUCCAGACAACAUUUCUUAACUGACAAACUACAGCUGAGAUAAUGACAGAGGCAGACUAAGAAGAAUAAACACUGACCUUCUGUAAAUGUCUUCAUGUUUUCUUUACAAGCUGAAGUAUUUUCUGGUUGAAGUUUGAG